UGAGACAAGAAGAAGCACCCGCUUCUCACCUGAUCGACGCUUUUCAGUAAGCAGUUGGCAGGUUCAUUUUCCUUUUUCUUAGGGAGACGUGUGGGUGCAUUAUGUACCGACACUUUUUUUAUGGA
rfam:Salimicrobium flavidum strain DSM 23127 genome assembly, contig: Ga0111645_107